rnacentral:rRNA from 1 species
AUUGAACGCUGGCGGCAGGCCUAACACAUGCAAGUCGAGCGAGCGGCGGACGGGUGAGUAAUGUAUGGGAAACUUCCUGAUGGGGGGGGAUAAAUACUGGAAAAGGUCGAUUAAACCGCAUACCAUAAGUUUUUCCCAGAUGGGAUUAGCUAGGAGGUGGGGUAAUGGCUCAACUAGGCGACGAGCCCUAGCGUGUCUGAGAGGAUGACCAGCCACACUGGAACUGAGACACGGUCCAGACUCCUACGGGAGGCAGCAGUGGGGAAUCUUGCACAAUGGGCGCAAGCCUGAUGCAGCCAUGCCGCGUGUAUGAAGAAGGCCUUCGGGUUGUAAAGUACUUUCAGCGGGGAGGCGUUACCCGCAGAAGAAGCACCGGCUAACUCCGUGCCAGCAGCCGCGGUAAUUC